GAUGAACGCUAGCGGCAGGCCUAAUACAUGCAAGUCGAGGGGUAGUGGUUGCUUGCAGCCAUGAGACCGGCGCACGGGUGCGUAACGCGUAUGCAACCUACCUUCAUCUGGGGGAUAGCCCGGAGAAAUCCGGAUUAAUACCGCAUAAAAUCACAGUACGGCAUCGUACAAUGAUCAAACAUUUAUGGGAUGGAGAUGGGCAUGCGUGUCAUUAGUUAGUUGGCGGGGUAACGGCCCACCAAGACCGCGAUGACUAGGGGAUCUGAGAGGAUGACCCCCCACACUGGUACUGAGACACGGACCAGACUCCUACGGAAGGCAGCAGUAAGGAAUAUUGGUCAAUGGGCGCAAGCCUGAACCAGCCAUGCCGCGUGCAGGAAGACGGCCCUCUGGGUUGUAAACUGCUUUUAUUCGGGAAUAAACCUGCUUACGUGUAAGUAGCUGAAUGUACCGAAGGAAUAAGGAUCGGCUAACUCCGUGCCAGCAGCCGCAGUAA
rnacentral:rRNA from 1 species